rnacentral:rRNA from 1 species
GACGAACGCUGGUGGCGUGCUUAACACAUGCAAGUCGAACGGAAAGGCCCUGCUUUUGUGGGGUGCUCGAGUGGCGAACGGGUGAGUAACACGUGAGUAACCUGCCCUUGACUUUGGGAUAACUUCAGGAAACUGGGGCUAAUACCGGAUAGGAGCUCCUGCUGCAUGGUUGGGGUUGGAAAGUUUCGGCGGUUGGGGAUGGACUCGCGGCUUAUCAGCUUGUUGGUGGGGUAGUGGCUUACCAAGGCUUUGACGGGUAGCCGGCCUGGGAGGGUGACCGGCCACAUUGGGACUGAGAUACGGCCCAGACUCCUACGGGAGGCAGCAGUGGGGAAUAUUGACCAAUGGGCGGAAGCCUGAUGCAGCAACGCCGCGUGCGGGAUGACGGCCUUCGGGUUGUAAACCGCUUUCGCCUGUGACGAAGCGUGAGUGACGGUAAUGGGUAAAGAAGCACCGGCUAACUACGUG